rnacentral:rRNA from 1 species
GCUAAAUGAUUUUAAUAUUUAGUUACGUCUGCUCAAUGAUAAGUUAAAUAGCCGCAGUACUUUGACUGUGCAAAGGUAGCAUAAUCAUUUGGCUUAUAAUUGAAGUCUGGCAUGAAAGAACCUGUGGGGAACAACUGUCUUUAUCAUUUUAAUAAAAAUUACUUAAUAGGUGAAAAUACCUAUAGCCACAGAAUAGACGAGAAGACCCUAGAAAUUUUAUAUAAAAGGGAAAUACCUUAUUAUUUUGUUGGGGCGACAGAAUAACAAAUAACUUGUUUUGGUGUAUAAGAAUUAUGUAGUAAGUAAAAAUAAAUUACUCUAGGGAUAACAGCAUAAUUUAUAAAAGUUUGUGACCUCGAUGUUGGACUAGGGUACUUAAUAGUCAAAAGCUAUUAAGGUAGGCUCUGUUCGAGCUAGUAUCCCUACAUGAUCA